ACAAAGUACUCAAAUUAUUUAAUUUUACAAAAUUCCAGUGUUGGGCCAACCGAGCACAACUCAGCAAAUGGGGGGUGUUGUAUCCUGGCUGAUCACAUCAUUGACACAGACAGAGGGAAAUUACAUAAUACAUAACAGUCUCAGAUAAAUAUACAAUUAAAUCAGCGAGUGUUCAAUGCAACAAAUAAUUUACUUAAAGUUUAGCUCAGUACCACAACCAAAAGGUUAAAUAAACAAUCCUGAUCCCCCCUUUUCCUCUGUCACUGGUGGUUGGGUCCUUCCAAUGAGCUUCUGCAUAAAAAGCAGCUCCACCCUCAUCCACCUCUUUGGACCGGGAAGGGCUCCACUGGUUUUUUGUUUUUUUAUUGAUGCAGAACAAAGGAAGGGCUCCACUGAUCUUUUCUCUGGUUGCUCCAACCUCAUCAUCCUUUUACCGACAUCAUCCCUGUCCUCCGUUGAACGAUGCUCACCUAAAUCCGGAUGUUCUACUGGUAUCAACUGGAGACAGCUGAUCAGAAAAGCUUUACAUAAAAGGAUGUGCCUUCUCCUCCAUAAGAACGAAGAGUUCUUGGAGAGAUGAAGCUGCUCUGCUGAUACAGCUGGACUUGACCAGAGGACAGCGUGUUCAUGCUCAGAUUAUAGAAGUCUGUAGGGGGUGGUGGUGAGGGGGGUGGAAGUUGAGGAUGAGCAGCCAAGUGUCAGACCAAACCUCA